GCAGUGUAUCCUGUUAAAGAUCUAUUGUUACUAUUACAAGAUAUUGGGGGACAGGACAAGAAAUCCCUUGAUUAUCCACAAGUCUGAUAAAGCCUGUGUGUGUCCUUCAAGCAAAGGAGUAUUUACUUACUUUUAGAGGAAAGAAUUUGCUGUCUUCCCUGAUUCCCUCAAAUAAACUAAAGAUUGAAAAGGUA